rnacentral:rRNA from 1 species
GGGAUGGGCUACACACGUGCUACAAUGGCAGUGACAAUGGGUUAAUCCCCAAAAGCUGUCUCAGUUCGGAUUGGAGUCUGCAACUCGACUCCAUGAAGUCGGAAUCGCUAGUAAUCGCGUAACAGCAUGACGCGGUGAAUACGUUCCCGGGCCUUGUACACACCGCCCGUCACACCAUGGGAAUUGGUUUUACCCGAAGACUGUGUGCUAACCUUUUGGAGGCAGCAGGCCACGGUAAGAUCAGUGACUGGGGUGAAGUCGUAACAAGGUAGCCGUAGGGGAACCUGCGGCUGGAUCACCUCCUUU